GAAAAAAUAAAAUUGCGCAACCCUUGUCCUCUCCUUCCUCUCGCCUCCCUCACCUCGACCAGAUUAGCGGCGGCGAUGGCUCUCCCGGCGUCGAGCUCCGGCCUCUUCCGCUUCAUCUCUCCGCGCCGCCGCCCCCAGCCCACCGAUAUCGCCGCCGCCGCCACCUGGGGCGUAGCUGCCGGCGCCGCCGCCAUCUACCUCGUCCAGCCAUUUGACUGGAUUAAGAAAACUUUCUUUGAGAAACCCGAAGCAGAGGCAUGAGUCUGCCUGGCAUAUGAAAGACUGCAACUUUUGAUACAUUUACAUUUCCGGGAUGAUUUCUGAGUGAAGAGAACUUGGAUGACCCAGCAAAUAAUAUAAGACACUUAUGCUUCCUUGUUUCAUUUUAAUGUAGGAUUCUCUUGCAUGUAAUCCUCAGGAGGGAAUGACCAUACGAGUUAUUACUCAUCUCGGAAAAUUUGUCCUGUGUUUAACAGUGCUAUAGAUUCAUGUUCGUGAUCAUUAUUUUCUCCAAGAUGCAUGUUUUCAGUCUUGUACUUGGGAGCCAUGAUAAUUGUUGUGCGCACCAGGUUUACAUUA